rnacentral:rRNA from 1 species
AGUGAACGCUGGCGGUAGGCCUAACACAUGCAAGUCGAACGGCAGCACAGUAAGAGCUUGCUCUUACGGGUGGCGAGUGGCGGACGGGUGAGGAAUACAUCGGAAUCUACUUUUUCGUGGGGGAUAACGUAGGGAAACUUACGCUAAUACCGCAUACGACCUACGGGGGAAAGUAGGGGAUCUUCGGACCUUGCGCGAUUGAAUGAGCCGAUGUCGGAUUAGCUAGUUGGCGGGGUAAAGGCCCACCAAGGCGACGAUCCGUAGCUGGUCUGAGAGGAUGAUCAGCCACACUGGAACUGAGACACGGUCCAGACUCCUACGGGAGGCAGCAGUGGGGAAUAUUGGACAAUGGGCGCAAGCCUGAUCCAGCCAUACCGAGUGGGUGAAGAAGGCCUUCGGGUUGUAAAGCCCUUUUGUUGGGAAAGAAAAGCAGCAGGUUAAUACCCCGCUGUUCUGACGGUACCCAAAGAAUAAGCACCGGCUAACUUCGUG